rnacentral:lncRNA from 1 species
UCCGUCUCUGAGUGCUCUGUAGAUCAGGCUUCAACUGGGCUUAACCCAACCUCGGAUGGCAAUUGUAAAAUGAAUGUGGUGGAUUCUAAAAAGGUAAAAUGAAUGUGUGUUUUCACUCAAUUAUCUACCUGGCUGCUUUUAUCACGAUAUGCAUGUGAGUGCUUAGGCUGGUCAUAGUGGGAGUAACAUAGGUAGUAACAUAGAUGCCACAUAAGUAAAAAUGAUGAUGUGACAAGUAGUUAAUGAGGAGAGAGGCAAAUAGAGUAACAUAAUAUGUUACCAUCACAUAGCGGUUUCCAAUGCAUAAUGAGUCUACAAAGUAAUAAAUGAAGGCAACUAUGUUACCACACCUAUGACACUACCCAUUAUGAAGGUAGUAACAUAGACUAGUAACAUAUGUAUGUUACUAGUCUAAGUUACUUCCCACUAUGACCAGCCUUAGAAGGAAAAAUAUGUUGGCAUGUCGCGUGACAGAAAGGAGUCGUGCAGAUCAAUUGUGU